UAACACGUAUGCAAUCCACCUGUAACAGGGGGAUAACCCGGAGAAAUCCGGACUAAUACCCCAUAAUAUGGGUUCUCCGCAUGGAGGGUCCAUUAAAGAGAGCAAUUUUGGUUACAGACGAGCAUGCGCUCCAUUAGCCAGUUGGCGGGGUAACGGCCCACCAAAGCGACGAUGGAUAGGGGUUCUGAGAGGAAGGUCCCCCACAUUGGAACUGAGACACGGUCCAAACUCCUACGGGAGGCAGCAGUGAGGAAUAUUGGUCAAUGGUCGGCAGACUGAACCAGCCAAGUCGCGUGAGGGAAGACGG
rnacentral:rRNA from 1 species